AGUUGCAGCUGGUAGACGGUGGUACCAGGACUUCUGUUGAGUGACUUUGGGGCAGCCGCCCUACAGGCUCAACUCCCAGAAGCUACCUGGCCCGAUCACCUGGAAUAGGGAGUCCCCCUGUCACGGGAAAGGAUGAGAAGGACAGCGUUUCACUAUGUUGUCCAGGCUUGUUUCAAACUCCUGGGCUCAAGCCAUCAGCCUGCCUCAACCUCCUAAAGUGCUGACAUUACAGGCAUGAGCCACUGUGCCCAGCCAGGAAAUGUUUCAAAUACUUGAGAUUUUUGAUGAACCAAGCUGGCUGGUGUCGCCUCAGUUUGUCUAAAUUACCAAGGACCGCUGGAAUUUCCCUGGGAAUAUGUUUCGGGAAAGGUCAGAAACUCUUCAGUCGUCUUCACGCUUCCACUCAGUAGCAACGUUUUUGCACACUCAUUGACUAUCAACUGGUUGUCUAUGACUCAAAUUACAUAAUGAAUCCAGCACAUAAAUUAUUUACUCAGAUUUAAUGCCAGCAACUGUUAUCUUUGUAUUUUUUUCCCCUCUGCCAGCUAAUCUGGCUCAUUUCAUUGGAAUUUUGGUCAUGCCCAUUCUCCUUCUGCACUAAAUUAACUCCAUAACGUAGUAUAAACAGAACAAGCUUGUGUGUGAUAUGCUUAACUGUUAAUUUACCUAAUUAAACUAAUUCAAUUAAAUCAUUUACAUCUUUUUGGUAACAUGCCAGUUGAUACCACAGCAGAAGUGGGAUGUUUCAGAAGAUGAUUGUUCAGCAAAUGAAUGGAAAAAAAAAUAAAAGGAAAACAAAAUGAGACAACCGUCCAAAUCUCUUGGCUUGAAAAUUAAAUGAUACUGAAAAAAUGCAGCUUUCACGGGGCACUGUGAUUAGAUAUUUUUCUGAAAUCAAUUUUCUCUACAAAUUGGUAUUUUAACAGAGUGAUCACAAUCUAUUGUACAAAAUAUUUUAAACACUAUUUGUACAUUCACAUAUUUGGUAUGUUUAAGUAAAGUGUGCUUGUUCCCACA
ensembl:lncRNA LOHAN2 lncRNA oncogene in head and neck cancer 2